UACGUAGGGUGCAAGCGUUGUCCGGAAUUAUUGGGCGUAAAGAGCUCGUAGGCGGUUUGUCGCGUCUGCUGUGAAAACCCGGGGCUCAACCUCGGGCCUGCAGUGGGUACGGGCAGACUAGAGUGCGGUAGGGGAGAUUGGAAUUCCUGGUGUAGCGGUGAAAUGCGCAGAUAUCAGGAGGAACACCGGUGGCGAAGGCAGGUCUCUGGGCAUUAACUGACGCUGAGGAGCGAAAGCAUGGGGAGCGAACAGG
rnacentral:rRNA from 1 species